rnacentral:rRNA from 1 species
ACGAACGCUGGCGGCAGGCCUAACACAUGCAAGUCGAACGCUCCGCAAGGGGAGUGGCGCACGGGUGAGUAACACGUGGGAACCUACCUUCUGGUACGGAACAACCAAGGGAAACUUUGGCUAAGACCGUAUACGACCUCCGGGUGAAAGAUUGAUCGCCGGAAGAGGGGCCCGCGUCCGAUUAGGUAGUUGGUGAGGUAACGGCUCACCAAGCCUUCGAUCGGUAGCUGGUCUGAGAGGAUGACCAGCCACACUGGGACUGAGACACGGCCCAGACUCCUACGGGAGGCAGCAGUGGGGAAUAUUGGACAAUGGGCGCAAGCCUGAUCCAGCCAUGCCGCGUGAGUGAUGAAGGCCUUCGGUU